AGUGAACGCUGGCGGCAGGCCUAACACAUGCAAGUCGAGCGGCAGCGGGCUGUAGCAAUACAGUGCCGGCGAGCGGCGGACGGGUGAGGAAUACAUCGGAAUCUACCUUGUCGUGGGGGAUAACGUAGGGAAACUUACGCUAAUACCGCAUACGAACUACGGUUGAAAGCGGAGGACCGCAAGGCUUCGCGCGAUUGGAUGAGCCGAUGUCGGAUUAGCUAGUUGGCGGGGUAAUGGCCCACCAAGGCGACGAUCCGUAGCUGGUCUGAGAGGAUGAUCAGCCACACUGGAACUGAGACACGGUCCAGACUCCUACGGAGGCAGCAGUGGGGAAUAUUGGACAAUGGGCGCAAGCCUGAUCCAGCCAUGCCGCGUGUGUGAAGAAGGCC
rnacentral:rRNA from 1 species